AUUGAACGCUGGCGCAUGCUUUACACAUGCAAGUCGAACGGCAGCACGGGGGCAACCCUGGUGGCGAGUGGCGAACGGGUGAGUAAUAUAUCGGAACGUACCCGGAAAUGGGGGAUAACGUAGCGAAAGUUACGCUAAUACCGCAUAUGCCCUAAGGGGGAAAGCGGGGGAUUCGCAAGAACCUCGCGUUUUCGGAGCGGCCGAUAUCGGAUUAGCUAGUAGGUGAGGUAAAGGCUCACCUAGGCGACGAUCCGUAGCUGGUCUGAGAGGACGACCAGCCACACUGGAACUGAGACACGGUCCAGACUCCUACGGGAGGCAGCAGUGGGGAAUUUUGGACAAUGGGCGCAAGCCUGAUCCAGCCAUGCCGCGUGAGUGAAGAAGGGCCUUCGGGUUGUAAAGCUCUUUCAGCCGGAAAGAAAACGCGCAGGUUAAUAACCUGUGCGGAUGACGGUACCGGAAGAAGAAGCACCGGCUAACUACGUG
rnacentral:rRNA from 1 species